GGCCGCGAGUGGGGAGCGGAGUGGGCAGGGCGCGGACUCGCGCAGCUGCUUAACCCCCUGCGCGCCGGCGGCUUCGGCCUGGUUUCCGCCGCGUGGAGCCCCGGAGCCUGGCCAAGGUGCACGGCGGAGCGCAGUCGCGCCGGUGGUGGCGCGGCUGGGCCGGAGGAGGGAUUGCAGACUGCAGGGGAGGUCGAGGCACUGCUGGAGAGGAGAGCAACAAGGGGCUGGUGCGAGGAAAGCGGCCACUGGAUGGAGCUGUGGCUCUACCAGUUAGAAGCUGCGCGGCAGGAGGCUCGAUCCUGCGCUUAUCCCCGCGGAGCCGCCUCGGAGCCGGGGAGCGCGCGGUUCAGCGGCCGCGGGCAGCUCCGAGAGGCGGGAGGGACAGAAAGCGCCCGACCGCGGGUGGGGAGCGCUCGCCAGGGGAAACCCACCGCCCUGCUCAGAGUUUCCCCCGCCCAGCCGCUGACUCCCGGGCCAGCGUCUGCAGCAGGGAGGGGUCGCCAGCGUCACGGAGAUCUUCACCCACGACCGACUUCUGUGGGCAUGACAAUAAUUACAUAAUGUUCUCCGGGACUGUGUGGAGAGGGAAGACGGGGUUAGGCACAGAGAAACGCAGUGAGUUGUAGCGUUUGGAAUUCAUCUGGCCUUCUGUCCUGGUGAAGCUAGAGAACUGCUCGGUUUUUAUUAAGAAUGUAAACAGCAGCAUGCAUCACGUUAGAAACCAUCUGUCCUCGGGAAGGUGAUCGUUAACAGAUUCCGGUAUCCUUUAAGCAGGACUGAAACACUGUCCAUCAAGUGUACUUUUAAAAUUCCUAUCAGGGUUUCCUUGUAACUGUACGUUGAACCUUUAGCAUGUUGGGAAUAUGAGGAAGUCCUAACAAUGCUGUCAGGAACCCAAUGCCGUAUGUGUAUUUUCACUUUGCAGAAAAUGAAUUUGCAGCUGGCUAAUGCCUUUGCUGGCCAGAAAAAAUCACCCUUAACAGGGCUGUUGGAUUCUUAAGCCCGUUCUCUCCUACUGCUGAAUGCAGCAGUGCUUACUCGGUAAACAGCCUCAGACAUGCUAAUUCCAUGACAAUGGAAUUUAUUUUCUGAAGAUGUAUUUAUUUUCCACUGUGAGCUGCGGCAGGCUGGAGACUUGGAGACAGGAUGGAGUGUAUUUUACUGUCUGCUUGUGUUUAGGGCACCCGGACUCCGUAUCCUUUAUAUUUUCAGCUAUAAGGAUUUUGAAGUUUCCCAUUCCCAGGAAGGAAGUCUUUUCACAUUCAAAGAUUUCCUCCUGGAGACCGUAUCCAAUCCACAGCACAAGGCUCAAGUUAACACACACUUAACGUUGUGUGGGAGACGGCCCCAGACAUGGCAGACGCCAGACAGACAGAGGCUGAGUCAGCGUGAAAUCCUUCGCCCAACAGGAUGCAGGGCACAAGCGUGUGGAGAAAGGCGAUCUCUUCAAGGUUAUGGGCGGAGAGUCUUCAGCCUGAGGAAAAGGGUGUCCAGGGUGAGCAAGGGGAGCUGGAGUUAAUCUGAAGUGGGGGCCGACUGCUGCGGUUGCAGAAGUGUGACAGAAAUAAAUGUAAAGUGUAAAAGAAGUAUUUUAAGCAGAAAGCCAUGAGCUUGAACGUUAAGAAGGAAAGAGUAAAAGAAGGAAAAAGGUUGGAAACCAUUUUGUUUCUGUGAACAUUGCCUGAGAGGUAGUUUUGUCAAUGUGGAAUCAAGAUAUUUUCGUAACUGUUGCAUCUUGUAUACAAUGGUGCUGAUAAACAAAUUUGCCUUACCUGCUAUAGAACACUUGUCCUUAUUAACUAUAAGAUACCUCUUUGUUAAUAGCUUGAAAUGAAAGAAAAUUUUAAUUAAAAAUUCCAUGUACCCAAUGAAUCAAGGGCUGAUGUCUGAGGUGAAGUUCAGUUCAUUUAAAAGUCCCUUGUUCCCACCAGGCAGGGAGUCGGUUGCCAGACAAGAUGACUCCUCUGUAUCUAGGGAAUGUAUGUGCAAGGGAAACAUUUCCUGCUCGUCUUCCUUCCCCACCAUGACUGCUGAAGCCCGAGCUUAUAGAAAGGACUGCAAAGUUCUUCUUGCAAAAUACCCCCAAACAAAAUCCUACCAUCUUAUUUUUUGACAGUUUUCUGGCUUCUGAAUUAGGUCUUGGCUAUAGCUUUUCUUUCUAUAGACAUGAUGCUUUGGUAUCACCGUGGCCCUUGUCCCCUGAAGUGUGUGGAACGGUUGUCUGAUUAUGCCCCUCCUCAGACACACUUCAGCCUCUCCGUUGCCUUUGCUUCCCACUCCGUGCACGUCGACCCAUUUUCUGCAUGUGCAGGUUUGCUGAACUUUGUCUUUCACUGUCGCUGUUUCUUAGUGAUAUCUACAAGCUUUCGUGGAAGCCUCAGAGCUGUUGAUCCCCCACGGUCUCACCUGGAGAGGAGGUCUUUGAACUGAGAGGCUGCGCACUGAUGCCUUUUCUGGGGCUUCUUGAGCGUAAUCACCAUAUUCCACUCCCACCAGCCAGCAACAGGUUGGUUUUCUACCACACUUUCAGGUGUUUCCCUAGGCCCAAUGCUAGCUGUUUAAAAAGUGCAGGAAUAACUGAAAGACACAAAAACACAUAUUUUCCUCACAAAUGUCCUUUAAGAUGUUUAAAAUGUCUGCCUAUGAAACUAUAAGAUAAUCCUUGGGGAUUCAGAAAGACUUACCUCCACCUCUCUUGUGGGCAUCGUGGUUCUCUGAGCCUCCUCCCUGGACUUCUGGAAAACAUUUUUGAAGAUAACAAAACUGUAUAAGAAAGAAUAUUUCAGAGUUGAGAAAAAUUUUCAGUUACCGUCUUAUGCCUGGAUUUAUUUUCCACUUGGGCUGAAAAGAAAAUAUAAACUGUAAGUGUUGAAAGAACAUAAACAGUUCCACAGAGAAAUUUUAUUUUAACUGAGGAAAAUAAUAAAUGUAGGAGAAAGCCACUAACUUACUUUGAUGAAAAUGAGAUUUUAAAUUUUGUUUUCCAAUGCAUUAUAUAAGCUAGUGCUGACUGCAUCUGUGCGUCCUCCACAUGUCACAUGUGCUAAAAUCAAACACGCAUGUCAAUGGCAGAAAAGCGGUGUGAACACUCGGUCUUCCCUGGUGAACGUGUUUCAGAACCAUGAUGGAGCUUAGCACGACCGCACAAACUGCUCACGUAACGCGUAAUGGCAUCGCUGCUUACUUACGUCACGUGAGAAAAACUUCAUUUCUUCAAGACCCUAAGCUGCGAAAUGCUUCCCACGGAGGGCAUGGGAUCAAGGAUUUUAAGAUGCUUUCCGUCCCUGUGUCACAUGCUUGGUCUGUUCUGGACGUGCACUGGCUGUCUGUACAGCAUGGAGUCCCCUCUCUGUAUGUCCAGGCAUCUCCAUCCAUGACGCUUCCCCAGCACAAAAGAUGGUAAUUUGGGAUAUAUUCACCUGCAAAAUGUUGGUGUAUACCUCUGACUUCCACAACAUUCAACACUGCUCUACAGGUGACUUGCUAAUGUUAAUGAGCAAGAAAAAUAAAUUACUUAGAUUCUGAAGUGGCUGACUGAUUGUGUCACCUUGGAGAAAUUUAGAAGCUUAGCUAAAUCUGCUCAGCAAUUUUACACCCUGGGGUGUAGAGGACCCACUCCAGGGAAGCUCCUCACCUGGAUGAUGCGAUGGGGAAUUGCGGCUUCUGUUUUUUGGAGGAGCUCCAGUCUUUGCCUGCAGCUUAGACAGCAUCUCUGGGCUUCCACACAGCUGCUCCGGCUUCCACCUUGAAUUCUCAAGCUCUCUGUCACAGACUCAUUGGUCCCUCAUACAGACUUGCACAGGAAGUUGCUGGGAGCUCCAGACUUUCCACUGAAACCUUCUGUCUCCAGGUGCAGACAUCAUCUAUAUGCUUCCUUGUUCGACUCUGUGAGUGACUUUCAUAAGCUAUAGACUGUUAAUUUCUCAUACAUUUGUCUGUCUUGUAUUAUACCUGCUUCUAGUAGACCCUGACUGAUACAGAAAUUGAUACCAGCAAGUGGAGUCAUUGCUGUGAUGUUGCCUGGCCGUGUGGCUUAGGAGCUUUGGGGCUGAUUUGGCAGGGUUUUGAGAGACUGGCGAAGGAGGCAGCCCCUGUGCACCGUAAACUGCGGGGGACGCUCUGGUCCAAGCCUGGGAAAUCAGAGCACUGAUGGGAACAAUGCCGGCUAGGAUGAGGCUCAGGAGGCUUCGACUAAGAAGAACUGAACAGGCUUCCGGAUCCCAGGUGGUGUAUUUUCAUCUGCAUUUUGCUUGUGUUUAGAGAUAUUGCCUGAAUGGCAGAAAAAAUUCAGUGCAGUCUAUGUUGGGAUCUUGGUAGGCAUACUGCUGAGAGCUUUUGGCCAGAUCUAUGUUGGAAAUUAAGAACAAGGAGCCAGUAGAGUGACUUGAAACAUUUGGCCAGAAGCAAGGCUCCAGUGGAGCUAUGGACUGCAAGGAUGAAACAGAGGAGAAUGUGGUACUUGAGAACAACAGGACAAUGAAAAAAUGAACUGAUAUAUUUCACCGGAAUGGAGGAGUGGAUUUGAAUUGCAGGAAAUCCCUGUUUUUUAGUCUUGCCCUGCCAUGGUGUUUAAAACUGAACAGGAAGCAAGGAUUGUGAUUAACUCUCUUAAAUAUGACUUUAUUGUCAUUUUUAGACAUGUUUGUAACCAGGUUAAUUAGUCAAAAUAUUGCAUUUUAACCUUCAAUUUUGAUCACUCUGAAUAUCUUGCUUUUGGUGCAGAAAUGAGUGCAAUAAGCAUUGUAUAUAUUCAGUUGUUAUGUUAGUGUACAUCCAAUAGAACAAGACAUGAUAACUUUUCGCAAAUCUGCCACUGGAGACAAUGGCUUAAGGAAGUGUGUCUGGUUACCAUGUUGACUAGGGGUGGACUGUGGUGAACUGACAACUGAUGGUCAGCGUGUGACACCCAGCUGAACUGAAUUAGCAUGGUGCUGGGUAUGGAAGGCCCACCUGAGGGUUACUGCCAGCAACACUAAAAGGAGAACUGGAGAGAAAGAGUGGAGCUGUUGGUUCUCCUGGAGGAGCUUGUCAUGAUGGCUCCCCUGAUAUGAACUUGGCUGUUCUUGUUGUCACAGGAGCUCAGGAUCUCACAGCUGUGGUCCACCUGAGGGAGCUCUGCUCUUUGCUUUGAGCAUUGCUUCUUGGAUUUGUAGAGGAAGAUGAUGCUGUUGUUUCUCCUGAAGGAGCUUGUCCUGCUGGCUUCCUGAUACGAACUUGGCUGUUCUCAUCAUUGUUGGGGCUUGGGACCUCGUUGUCACUGAGGAUGGCUGUGGUACUUUUCAGGGGAGCCCUCGUCCUUAGUUUGAGCAUUGCUUCCUGGCUCCAGUGCAGAUCACUAAACCCUUUGGGACAGAUCCUUCAUUCUGCUGGCACAGACUUUCCAGCUUCCUCCACUGGCCUUUGGCCUUCCAGUACAGAUCUGUGAAGCAGACUUGCAUAGGGAUUGUCAUGGGCUCUAGACCUCCAAUUGGACUUGCUGUGUGUAUUGUCAUGGGCUCUUGGUCUUCAGCUGCACUCAUGCAGGACAUUGCUGUGGGAUCCAAGCCCUCAGCUAAAUUUUUUGGGUCUUCAGUGUGUGGACAGAUUUCAUGUACUCUUUUGUGUUUGUUCUCUUGGGGUGACUAUUAUAAAAUAGUCCUAUAAAUUAUGUUUCCAUAUUAAAUUGUUUCCCUUGCAAAA